GUGUGCAAGGGGAGGGGGCAUGAGUUCACCGGGGGGGGUGUGCAAAGAGGGAGUGGUUGCAUGAAGUGUGAGUGUGCAAAGGAGAGUGAAUGAGUGUAAGUGCAAGGGGAGUGUGCACGAGGAGUGGGUGUGCAAGGAGUGUGAGCGAGGGGGGGCACGAGGAGUGGGUGUGCAAGGUGAGUGUGUAAUACGUGAGGGUGGGUGAGUGUGUGACGGGGGUCCAUUGGGUGUGAGUGUGCAAGGUGGGUGUGCAAGGUGAGUGUGUAAUACGUGAGGGUGGGUGAGUGUGCAAUGGGGGUCCAUUGGGUGNGGUGAGUGUGUAAUACGUGAGGGUGGGUGAGUGUGCAAUGGGGGUCCAUUGGGUGUGAGUGUGCAAGGUGGGUGUGCAAGGUGAGUGUGUAAUACAUGAGUACUCUACACAAGUGUGCACAAUGGGUGUGAGCACACAAGUGUGCAAGGUGGGGGUGAGCACACAGUGGGGGUGUGCACGGCAGCACACGAGUGUGCACCACCAUAGUGCAAGCCCCCCUUGCACACAUGCACACCAUAGUCGUGCAAGGCGUUGUGCAUGAGUAGUUGCUUGCACACACGUGUGCAAGGGGGGUCCAAGACCUCAUGCACAAGCGAUCGCACACACGCGUGUGCAAGGGGGGGUCCCUUUAAAGGGGAUGUGGGUCCCUUUAAANGGGGGGUGGGUGGGUGUCAAGUGCUUGCACACGCGUGUGCAAGGGGGGUCCCUUUAAAGGGGGGGUGUCCCUGGGGGUGUGUCGGGGGGGGUUUCGGGGGGGUCCUCGUGCAACAGUUGUGUGACACGCCGCAGUCGUGCAGCCGCGUCCUCGUGCUCACGUUGCAGCCGGCGGUUGCUGCGUCGCAGCGUCCGCAGCUCAGCGUGCAAACGGGCCUUCGCCUCCUGCUCCUAUGGGGACACACGGUGACCCAUAGCGGGACCCAUAGCGGGACCCAUAGCGGGACCCAUAGCGGGACCCAUAGUGCCCCAUAGCACCCCAUAGUGCCACCAUAGCACCCCAUAGAGCCACCAUAGCAUCCCAUAGUGCCCCAUAGCACACCAUAGUGCCCCAUAGCGGGACCCAUAGCGGGACCCAUAGCACCCUAUAGGGCCCCAUAGCACCCCAUAGAGCCACCAUAGCACCCCAUAGUGCCCCAUAGCGUCCCAUAGUGCCCCAUAGCAUCUCAUAGUGACUCAUAGCACCCCAUAGUGCCUCAUAGCGGGACCCAUAGCGGGACCCAUAGCAUCCCAUAGCGCCCCAUAGAGCCCCCAUAGCAUCCCAUAGCGCCCCAUAGCACACCAUAGAGCCACCAUAGCAUCCCAUAGUGCCCCAUAGCACCCCAUAGAGCCACCAUAGCAUCCCAUAGUGCCCCAUAGCACCCCAUAGUGCCCCAUAGAGCCACCAUAGCACCCCAUAGCGCCCCAUAGAGCCCCACUGCACCCUAUAGGGCCCCAUAGAGCCACCAUAGCACCCCACAGUGCACCAUAGCACCCCAUAGAGCCCCAUUGCACCCUAUAGGGCCCCAUAGAGCCACCAUAGCACUCCAUAGAGCCACCAUAGCACCCCAUAGUGCCCCAUAGCGUCCCAUAGAGCCCCAUAGUGUCCCAUAGCAUCCCAUAGUGACCCAUAGCACCGAAUACUGCCCCAUAGCGGGACCCAUAGCGGGACCCAUAGCAUCCCAUACUGCACCAUAGCACCCCAUAGUGCCCCAUAGUGGGACCAUAGUGCCCAUAGCGGUCCAUAGAGCCGCCCAUAGUGCCCAUAGCAUCCAUAAGUGACCCCAUAGCACCCAUAGUGCCCA
ensembl:lncRNA